rnacentral:rRNA from 1 species
UACGUAGGGUGCGAGCGUUUGUCCGGAAUUAUUGGGCGUAAAGGGCUCGUAGGCGGUUUGUCGCGUCGGGAGUGAAAACCAGGUGCUUAACACCUGGCUUGCUUUCGAUACGGGCAGACUAGAGGUAUGCAGGGGAGAACGGAAUUCCUGGUGUAGCGGUGGAAUGCGCAGAUAUCAGGAGGAACACCGGUGGCGAAGGCGGUUCUCUGGGCAUUACCUGACGCUGAGGAGCGAAAGUGUGGGGAGCGAACAGG